CAAAACAUAUAUUUUUUAAAAACAGAGGGAAUAGUAGAGUGUGAGAAAUUAAAAGAAACCACGACAGUAAAGCAGGACAAAGUAGAAAAGCAGCCUAGCGACGAGCCAAGCUUAGACCAUAGGAUCCGAGAAGAGAACAGUCGAGAACAGGAGCCAGGUGCCACAAGCUAUCGAGAAAAAAACGCCUUCAAACUAUGAAAAAAAGCUUAUGCAGCUUCCGAUCACUCAACUGAACAUACCCAGCCAAAGAAUCCGAACACAAGCAGAACUCAACAAACCCGACAGCUAUACCCAGCCAAAGAGAUCGUAAUGGUCACUGCCUCAGGAACAAUCUGUGGUGGAAGCUUCUCUGGAUUGAUUUGGAGAACAUAAGACCACGUUUUGGUUUUGUUUACUUCUGUUAUAUGUUUGAUCUCAGUGGACUUUAAUCUCUUA